rnacentral:rRNA from 1 species
GACGAACGCUGGCGGCGUGCCUAAUACAUGCAAGUAGAACGCUGAAGCGAGGAGCUUGCUCUUCUUGGAUGAGUUGCGAACGGGUGAGUAACGCGUAGGUAACCUGCCUUGUAGCGGGGGAUAACUAUUGGAAACGAUAGCUAAUACCGCAUAACAAUGGAUGACACAUGUCAUUUAUUUGAAAGGGGCAAUUGCUCCACUACAAGAUGGACCUGCGUUGUAUUAGCUAGUAGGUGAGGUAAUGGCUCACCUAGGCGACGAUACUUAGCCGACCUGAGAGGGUGAUCGGCCACACUGGGACUGAGACACGGCCCAGACUCCUACGGGAGGCAGCAGUAGGGAAUCUUCGGCAAUGGGGGCAACCCUGACCGAGCAACGCCGCGUGAGUGAAGAAGGUUUUCGGAUCGUAAAGCUCUGUUGUAAGUCAAGAACGGGUGUGAGAGUGGAAAGUUCACACUGUGACGGUAGCUUACCAGAAAGGGACGGCUAACUACGUG